AUUGAACGCUGGCGGCAUGCCUUACACAUGCAAGUCGAACGGCAGCACGGGUGCUUGCACCUGGUGGCGAGUGGCGAACGGGUGAGUAAUACAUCGGAACGUACCUUAUCGUGGGGGAUAACGCAGCGAAAGCUGUGCUAAUACCGCAUACGCCCUGAGGGGGAAAGCGGGGGAUCGAAAGACCUCGCGCGAUUAGAGCGGCCGAUGCCUGAUUAGCUUGUUGGUGGGGUAAAAGCCCACCAAGGCGACGAUCAGUAGCUGGUCUGAGAGGACGAUCAGCCACACUGGGACUGAGACACGGCCCAGACUCCUACGGGAGGCAGCAGUGGGGAAUUUUGGGCAAUGGGGGCAACCCUGAUCCAGCAAUGCCGCGUGAGUGAAGAAGGCCUUCGGGUUGUAGAGCUCUUUUGUCAGGGAAGAAACACCGGCUCUAACACAGUCCGGGAAUGACGGUACCUGAAGAAUAAGCACCGGCUAACUACGUGCCAGCCGCCGCAGUAA
rnacentral:rRNA from 1 species